UACGGAGGGUGCUAGCGUUGUUCGGAAUUACUGGGCGUAAAGCGUGCGCAGGCGGCUUUGCAAGACAGAUGUGAAAUCCCCGGGCUUAACCUGGGAACUGCAUUUGUGACUGCAUGGCUGGAGUGCGGCAGAGGGGGAUGGAAUUCCGCGUGUAGCAGUGAAAUGCGUAGAUAUGCGGAGGAACACCGAUGGCGAAGGCAAUCCCCUGGGCCUGCACUGACGCUCAUGCACGAAAGCGUGGGGAGCAAACAGG
rnacentral:rRNA from 1 species